UACGUAGGCAGCAAGCGUUGUUCGGAGUUACUGGGCGUAAAGGGUGCGUAGGCGGCUCUAUAAGUUUGGUGUGAAAUCUCCCGGCUCAACUGGGAGGGUGCGCCGAAUACUGAAUGACUAGAGUGCGGGAGAGGAGAGUGGAAUUCCUGGUGUAAGCGGUGAAAUACGUAGAUAUCAGGAGGAACACCGGUGGUGUAGACGGCUCUCUGGACCGUAACUGACGCUGAGGCACGAAAGCGUGGGUAGCAAACAGGG
rnacentral:rRNA from 1 species